AAUAACGGCUUAAAUGUUUUGAAUCAAAAAACGACUUCUCUGAGGUACCACCACAAUACCACAAUCCUUCCUUUUCUUUUGAGAAAAGGCGCUACAUUUGAAAAUCGAAGCAAUAUUGCUGGUAGAAAAAUUGUUUACAGGAACAAGAAAAUACAAAACGAUCGUCAUUGUAAAACCAAUACGUUCCGCUCUCCGUUCAGAAUCACAAAUAGGAGUCGAAUGAAAAUCGAAUGGGCCCCGGGCCUACGGUCGGCUUGACCUGUAAAUCCGCCACAGCGGCGACGCGGGCAUUGUUCGCGCUUAUUGUUACGAUUAUUUUCAAACGGUACGGGCGUACGACGCGAAUUGAAAAAAUAUAAGUGCCGUCGGUAUUAUCCGAUGUCGUAUGUUGUAUCGAUUUAUAAUUAAAUUUG